CCUACGGGUGGCAGCAGUGAGGAAUAUUGGUCAAUGGACGAAAGUCUGAACCAGCCAAGUAGCGUGAAGGAUGACUGCCCUAUGGGUUGUAAACUUCUUUUAUAUGGGAAUAAAAUGUUCCACGUGUGGGAUUUUGUAUGUACCCUAUGAAUAAGGAAUGGCUAACUCCGUGUCAGCAGCCGCGGUAAUACGGAGGAUCCGGGCGUUAACCGGAUUUAUUGGGUUUAAAUGGAGCGUAGGUGGAUUGUUAAGUCAGUUGUGAAAGUUUGGGGCUCAACCGUAGAAUUGCAGUUGAAACUGGCAGUCUUGAGUGCGGUAGAGGUAGGCGGAAUUCGUGGUGUAGCGGUGAAAUGCUUAGAUAUCACGAAGAACUCCGAUUGCGAAGGCAGCUCACUGGACUGCAACUGACACUGAGGCUCGAAAGUGUGGGUAUCAAACAGGAUUAGAUACCCUUGUAGUC
rnacentral:rRNA from 1 species